UUUUUUUUUUUUUUUUAAGAUUUGGGCUACGGAGAAGACAAGACGAACUUACAUAUUUUCUAGGGCUUUUAUAGAUGUGCAGCUAAGGAAGAAAAGAAAGGAAGCAAGCCAGAUUAUAAGUACUAAAGAAAGAAAUUUUUUUUUUUCAAAUUUUUUUGGGGUUUUUGGGUGAAGGAAAUAUGAAAAUUACAUAAUUGAUAUGUUUUUAUAAUGUUAUGGUUAAGGAAGAGCGGUGAUGGAUUGAUCCAGCUUCCAAAAAACCAAAUCAAUAUACUAUGCGAAAGUAGAAACUAGAAAACAUCUGGGUGGCUUUUUGAUGGGAAAAGAAAAUAAUCUAAGGAAGACACUGGAACUGGAGCAGAAGCAAGAGAAAGCUAGUAAAGCGUUAAGGAAGAAGAAGGAGGCGCCGCCUGCUCAACUCCUCCAUAGAA
rnacentral:misc_RNA from 1 species